GACGAACGCUGGCGGCGUGCUUAACACAUGCAAGUCGAACGGAAAGGCCCUGCUUUUGUGGGGUGCUCGAGUGGCGAACGGGUGAGUAACACGUGAGUAACCUGCCCUUGACUUUGGGAUAACUUCAGGAAACUGGGGCUAAUACCGGAUAGGAGCUCCUGCUGCAUGGUGGGGGUUGGAAAGUUUCGGCGGUUGGGGAUGGACUCGCGGCUUAUCAGCUUGUUGGUGGGGUAGUGGCUUACCAAGGCUUUGACGGGUAGCCGGCCUGAGAGGGUGACCGGCCACAUUGGGACUGAGAUACGGCCCAGACUCCUACGGGAGGCAGCAGUGGGGAAUAUUGCACAAUGGGCGGAAGCCUGAUGCAGCAACGCCGCGUGCGGGAUGACGGCCUUCGGGUUGUAAACCGCUUUCGCCUGUGACGAAGCGUGAGUGACGGUAAUGGGUAAAGAAGCACCGGCUAACUACGUGCCAGCAGCCGCGGUGAUACGUAGGGUGCGAGCGUUGUCCGGAUUUAUUGGGCGUAAAGGGCUCGUAGGUGGUUGAUCGCGUCGGAAGUGUAAUCUUGGGGCUUAACCCUGAGCGUGCUUUCGAUACGGGUUGACUUGAGGAAGGUAGGGGAGAAUGGAAUUCCUGGUGGAGCGGUGGAAUGCGCAGAUAUCAGGAGGAACACCAGUGGCGAAGGCGGUUCUCUGGGCCUUUCCUGACGCUGAGGAGCGAAAGCGUGGGGAGCGAACAGGCUUAGAUACCCUGGUAGUCCACGCUGUAAACGGUGGGUACUAGGUGUGGGGUCCAUUCCACGGGUUCCGUGCCGUAGCUAACGCUUUAAGUACCCCGCCUGGGGAGUACGGCCGCAAGGCUAAAACUCAAAGGAAUUGACGGGGCCCCGCACAAGCGGCGGAGCAUGCGGAUUAAUUCGAUGCAACGCGUAGAACCUUACCUGGGUUUGACAUGGAUCGGGAGUGCUCAGAGAUGGGUGUGCCUCUUUUGGGGUCGGUUCACAGGUGGUGCAUGGCUGUCGUCAGCUCGUGUCGUGAGAUGUUGGGUUAAGUCCCGCAACGAGCGCAACCCUUGUUCACUGUUGCCAGCACGUUAUGGUGGGGACUCAGUGGAGACCGCCGGGGUCAACUCGGAGGAAGGUGGGGAUGACGUCAAGUCAUCAUGCCCCUUAUGUCCAGGGCUUCACGCAUGCUACAAUGGCUGGUACAGAGAGUGGCGAGCCUGUGAGGGUGAGCGAAUCUCGGAAAGCCGGUCUCAGCUCGGAUUGGGGUCUGCAACUCGACCUCAUGAAGUCGGAGUCGCUAGUAAUCGCAGAUCGGCAACGCUGCGGUGAAUAAAUUCCCGGGGCU
rnacentral:rRNA from 1 species